rnacentral:lncRNA from 1 species
GGCAGAUGUCGUUAUUCACAGCAGGGUUGGGGUACUUGGGGUACCGCGCUAGGAAUUUGUGGCAUAGCAACCCCAAGCUCUUCUCCUUCCGACUCGGCUGGGAUUUCUCAAAUUCGUCUCCUGAUAAGUGUUCCUGCAGAGGGAAAGGGCAAAUUUUUGGUGAAUCUUUUGGAGAGGAAAAUAUGUUCAAAGAGAUACUGGACCACAAAAGAGAUCACAGGAUUUGCUUCAAAUCAACGGAAACGGCGGUACGUGUAAGCAGGGGUCACGCUUCCUCUACACCCUUGAAGGUGGCUUCUUUCCUGGGAAAGCAUAGCCAGGUCCGUCUGCUGCCAUAGUCUCACAACAGUCAGAGCCCAGUUCUCAACCUGAUGGCUUCCAUGAAGAGACAGCAGCUGCUCACUGGAUGUGCGGACUCACGCAGCUUUCAUAACCCUUGCCUCAAUUCCUCCUUUGUAGAGAUCAUGAUGGCAACCUCAUGUCCCUGUCUCACUGCGAAAGAGGUCAGUACACGAAGAGAACGGAGCGCAAAGCUUGGCACGGUGUGCUCGCUCUGUAUGUUUUCCCUGCAUCCGUAUAACAUCUCUCCCGGAUGCUGUUCCUCAAUGCCAGGAAGACCUUUAACCAAGAAAUGCUCAACACUCUUGCCGUGUGGGUAAGAUGGCUUGGCAGACAGAACUCAGAACAAGGAGUCAGGAGUUCUCAUUCUGUUUCCUGUUGGCUGAUAAUGGGCUCUUGGGACCUCUUCUUCACCUGUUAAAAAUAGAAGCAACUGCGACACCCUCCUCUGCACUCUCACAUCUCUUACUCGCCUUCCCAGUAUCUUGCAGCAUCCCUAUGGGCUGUUGUUACUAAGCACCAGCAAGAUUUGCACCCAAGAAAUACUAAGGCUCUUCUUAUAUAUGCAGCAAUAGCUUCAAGGACAAAACCCAGGUUGAAGUCGGUUGGAAUAGCCAGGCAGUGCAGAGCAAAACUCAGCAAUUUGGAAGCCGAGGCCAGUUUCCUGAGGUCCUGUGGCUACUCAGAGGAUGAUCUUUUGGUCGAAUCAGCAUCCUUUCUGUGGUAUAGAAGGGGUUUGGUUUGGAUUCUCUGCCUCCUGUCUGCCUGAAGUCUAUCAUUGUAGGGGAAAUGAGUGGACUGGGGAACCCGAUUACUCAGUAGGAGCAACUGUGAUUCAUCUUGAUGUAUUGCUGAUAGCUUCUACAAUGCUACAAUUAAUACUCCUA